UGCAUAGCCCGAGUUGAGAGACUGAUCGGGCCACAUUGGGGACUGAGACACGGGACCCAAAACUCCUACGGGGAGGCAGCAGUAGGGAAUCUUCCACAAUGGACGAAAGUCUGAUGGAGCAACGCCGCGUGAGUGAAGAAGGUUUUCGGAUCGUAAAAAGCUCUGUUGUUGGUGAAGAAGGAUAGAGGUAGUAACUGGCCUUUAUUUGACGGUAAUCAACCAGAAGUCACGGCUAACUACGUGCCAGCAGCCGCGGUAAU
rnacentral:rRNA from 1 species